rnacentral:rRNA from 1 species
ACGGGGUGCAGCAGGCGCGAAACCUCCGCAAUGUGAGAAAUCGCGACGGGGGGAUCCCAAGUGCCAUUCUUAACGGGAUGGCUUUUCAUUAGUGUAAAGAGCUUUUGGAAUAAGGGCUGGGCAAGACCGGUGCCAGCCGCCGCGGUAACACCGGCAGCUCUAGUGGUAGCAGUUUUUAUUGGGCCUAAAGCGUCCGUAGCCGGUUUAAUAAGUCUCUGGUGAAAUCCUGUAGCUUAACUGUGGGAAUUGCUGGAGAUACUAUUAGACUUGAGACCGGGAGAGGUUAGAGGUACUCCCAGCGUAGAGGUGAAAUUCUGUAAUCCUGGGAGGACCGCCUGUUGCGAAGGCGUCUAACUGGAACGGUUCUUGACGGUGAGGGACGAAAGUUAGGGGCGCGAACCGGAUUUUGAUACCCGGGUAGAUCCUAACUGUAAACGAUGCGCACAUGGUGUUGGGGGUGGCUUUGAGCUGUUCCACUGCCGAAGGGGAAGCUGUUAAGUUCCGACGCCUGGGAAGUACCGGUCGCAAGUUCUGAAACUUAAAAGGAAUUGGGCGGGGGGAGCCAC